AAUCAACGCUGGCGGCGUGCCUCAGACAUGCAAGUCGAACGAUUAAACUCUUCUUCGGAGGAGAUAUAAAGUGGCGCACGGGUGAGUAACACGUAGGUAAUCUACCUUUGAGUGGGGAAUAACGUUCGGAAACGAACGCUAAUACCGCAUAAUGCAGCGGCACCGCAAGGUGACAGUUGUUAAAGGAGCAAUCCGCUUAAAGAGGAGCCUGCGGCAGAUUAGCUAGUUGGUAAGGUAAUGGCUUACCAAGGCUACGAUCUGUAACCGACCUGAGAGGGUGGUCGGUCACACUGACACUGAAUAACGGGUCAGACUCCUACGGGAGGCAGCAGUCGGGAAUUUUGGGCAAUGGGCGAAAGCCUGGCCCAGCAACGCCGCGUGAAGGAUGAAGUAUUUCGGUAUGUAAACUUCGAAAGAAUGGGAAGAAUAAAUGACGGUACCAUUUAUAAGGUCCGGCUAACUGCGUGCCAGCAGCCGCGGUAAUACGUAGGGACCAAGCGUUGUUCGGAUUUACUGGGCGUAAAGGGCGCGUAGGCGGCGUGUUAAGUCAGCUGUGAAAUCUCCGAGCUUAACUCGGAACGGUCAGCUGAUACUGAUGUGCUAGAGUGCAGAAGGGGCAAUCGGAAUUCUUGGUGUAGCGGUGAAAUGCGUAGAUAUCAAGAGGAACACCUGA
rnacentral:rRNA from 1 species